rnacentral:rRNA from 1 species
UACGGAGGGUGCGAGCGUUAUCCGGAUUCACUGGGUUUAAAGGGCGCGUAGGCGGUUCGUUAAGUCCUGUGUGAAAUCCCCCGGCUCAACUGGGGAACUGCACAGGAAACUAGCGGGCUUGAGUUCGGGAGAGGGAAGCGGAAUUCCGGGUGUAGCGGUGAAAUGCGUAGAUAUCCGGAGGAACACCGGUGGCGAAGGCGGCUUCCUGGACCGACACUGACGCUGAGGCGCGAAAGCUAGGGGAGCAAACGGG